rnacentral:misc_RNA from 1 species
GAAAUGCGAUACGCAAUGCGAAUUGCAGAGUCCCGCGAGUCAUCAGAUCUUUGAACGCAAGUGGCGCUGGCGGCCCAACCGCCAGCAUGCUUGUUUCAGUGAGCGAGGAAUCACACAUCCCAAUGCGAUUGACGGGAUCCGGAGGGGCCGGGAAUCCGGAGAAGACCCACCUGGACUUGAGGGUUGAGUUUCUCAAUCCUCUCGUCUCGGGGGAGGGUCCGAUCCGCUCCCGACCAUCCCAAACCUCCGCGUCGUCCCCUCUCUCGUUAAACACGGCGGCGCCGAGCCUCUAGCGCGGCCGAGACGAAGUAGUCACUUCCCUCUCGAAAGUGAUCUCGUUUCGGGUACCGGCGGGCUCACACAAGGCGAUCGCGAACCAAGGCCUAGUGUCGGAGAUCUUCUCCGUCCACUGGACUCAACUCUCCACCCAACUCCUGAAAUCAAGCAAGGGCACCCGCUGAACUUAAGC